GAUGAACGCUAGCUACAGGCUUAACACAUGCAAGUCGAGGGGAAACGAUAUUGGAAGCUUGCUUCCGAUAGGCGUCGACCGGCGCACGGGUGAGUAACGCGUAUCCAACCUGCCCACCACUUGGGAAUAACCUUGCGAAAGUAAGACUAAUGCCCAAUGACGUUGAAAGAAGACAUCUGAUUUCAACUAAGAUUUAUCGGUGAUGGAUGGGGAUGCGUCCGAUUAGCUUGUUGGCGGGGUAACGGCCCACCAAGGCAACGAUCGGUAGGGGUUCUGAGAGGAAGGUCCCCCCACAUUGGAACUGAGACACGGUCCAAACUCUACGGAGGCAGCAGUGAGGAAUAUUGGUCAAUGGGCAGAGCCUGACGGAGCAACGCCGCGUGAGUGAUGAC
rnacentral:rRNA from 1 species